GCCGUUUUGGAAAAUUGUUUUAGAAAAUCUUUUCAGCCUUAACCAAAUGGGAAACUGAUUUAGCAAUUUCAAUUCCAUUUAAUAGUUGGUGUAAAUCCUUUAUGAGGACUAAAAAAACCAUUCAUUGCCUGAAUAUUCUAGAGACUUUUACUAAAAUAUUGUACAGAUGGUACUUGGUACCGUCUAGACUUGCUAAAAUUUCCAUUACUAAUCCAUCUAAUUGUUGGCGGUGUCAACACCCAGAUGGCUCUAUGUUUCAUAUAUGGUGGAC